ensembl:antisense Gm15318 predicted gene 15318
GAUUUGCACGGUUUCAGCAACAAUGCACCCGGUAAAAUCAGUUUAAAGCAGGCAGGGUUUCUUUGGCUCACAGACCCAGGCCUUGUAUAUGAAGCGUCCUCCCCUUCCCCAGGGCUUAAGUCCUAAAACCAGUGCUCCGUGCUGAAGGAUUCCAUGAAUCCCGGUUGGAUUUGGAAGCUUUGAGUGACCCAGACACAUGUUCCUCUUCCUCCUGCUCACAGGUACGGCCAGGCUUCCACCAGUGCUCAAGAGACUCAGAAAAGUCCAGCUUGGCAUCAAGCACCGAGAAAAGACGUUAAAACAAACCACGUGUCCCCUUCCUUCCUGGCCACAAUCUGCCUGAUGGCUGUCAAACCUUCCAGGAUACUCAACGGCUGGCGCUUGCCUGCUGGGUUGCUGUCUUCCUCCUUCGCUUAUGCUUCCUGCCAGGCUCCUAAGAAAUCUAGUGUCCAUGUCUGAGCUCAUUCCACCACGGGGCUCCUUUGACCAGCACCUGUUGAUGGCGUUUAUUUUGAACAGAUCUUGGUUUUUAAAGUCCCAGAUUCUGAGACUUCUUCACUCGCUGAUAGAUGCUCCUGACACCAUGCCUGCAGCUUGAGCCUGUGCCUCCCUGCUCUGAUGGACUCAUCCCUCUGGAAGUGCCGAAUUCGAGGACUAAAAGUCUGAGGGGUUGAACUGUGUCACCAGCCAGAUCCAGCCACAGAAUAG